GACGAACGCUGGCGGCGUGCUUAACACAUGCAAGUCGAACGAUGAAGAAAAGAAUCGAAGCUUCGGCAGAAAUUCAUUUCGGAUUAGUGGCAGACGGGUGAGUAACGCGUGAGCAACCUACCUCUUACAAAGGGAUAGCCUCGGGAAACCGGGAUUAAUACCAUAUAACAUUGCGACGAAGCAUUUCGAUGCAAUCAAAGCUACGGCGGUAAGAGAUGGGCUCGCGUCCCAUUAACCGGAUGGUGAGGUAACGGCUCACCAUAGUGACGAUGGGUAACCGGAGUGAGAGGGUGAACGGUCACAAUGGAAAUGAGACACGGACCAGACUCCUACGGGAGGCAGCAGUGGGGAAUAUUGCAAAAAGGAGGGAACUCUGAUGGAGCGACGCCGCGUGAGUGAUGAAGGAAUUCGUUUCGUAAAACUAUGUUCUAUGGGAAGAAAAGGACUGUACCAUAGGAGAAAGCUCCGGCUAAAUAAGUG
rnacentral:rRNA from 1 species